AUGGCUGCCUCCUCCACUCGGCCCCUGAACCCUGCCGCUCCUCCCUUCCUCCCCGUAGCCUCCGCCCCCCCGAUGCUCUGCCCCCCGGCUUCUUCCUCCUUGGCGGUUGGCUUUCCCCUCCCGCCGCAGUGCCUGCUGCCGCCGCCGUGCGCGUUGUCCGUCCCACCCUUGCCAUGGGUGCAGGUGCCUCCUCCCCCUCCGUGUCAGGUAACUGUGAAGCGGAGGAUAAUGUCGAUUCUGGACCAGCACUGCGCCGAGGAGAACGAGAAACUCCGGCGGGGCGUCGACGGCCGCGGCAAGGCCGUUAAGUCGGAGUACGAUUUCCUCUACGUCCCAAUCGACUUCAGAACGAAGUACAACAAGGGGUACGCCUUCGUCAACAUGACGACGGCGACGGCGGCGCGUCGGCUGCACGCGUUCCUCCACGGCCAUUCAUGGGCGGCGACGGGCUCCAAGAAGGUGUGCGAGGUCGUGCACGCAAGCAUCCAGGGUGCUGAUGCGUUGGUGAAGCACUUCUCGGGCUCCAAGUUCCCCUGCGGCAACGGGAACGAGGAGUUCCUGCCGGUGCGCUUUGGGCCGCCGCGGAGCGACCGCAGGCAGACGGCGGAGCGCGUGAUCGGCCAGGCGGUGGUCCGUGGAGCCCGCUGCUGA
rnacentral:rRNA from 1 species